rnacentral:rRNA from 1 species
GAUGAACGCUGGCGGCGUGCCUAAUACAUGCAAGUCGAGCGAACGGACGAGAAGCUUGCUUCUCUGAUGUUAGCGGCGGACGGGUGAGUAACACGUGGAUAACCUACCUAUAAGACUGGGAUAACUUCGGGAAACCGGAGCUAAUACCGGAUAAUAUUUUGAACCGCAUGGUUCAAAAGUGAAAGACGGUCUUGCUGUCACUUAUAGAUGGAUCCGCGCUGCAUUAGCUAGUUGGUAAGGUAACGGCUUACCAAGGCAACGAUGCAUAGCCGACCUGAGAGGGUGAUCGGCCACACUGGAACUGAGACACGGUCCAGACUCCUACGGGAGGCAGCAGUAGGGAAUCUUCCGCAAUGGGCGAAAGCCUGACGGAGCAACGCCGCGUGAGUGAUGAAGGUCUUCGGAUCGUAAAACUCUGUUAUUAGGGAAGAACAUAUGUGUAAGUAACUGUGCACAUCUUGACGGUACCUAAUCAGAAAGCCACGGCUAACUACGUGCCAGCAGCCGCGGUAAUACGUAGGUGGCAAGCGUUAUCCGGAAUUAUUGGGCGUAAAGCGCGCGUAGGCGGUUUUUUAAGUCUGAUGUGAAAGCCCACGGCUCAACCGUGGAGGGUCAUUGGAAACUGGAAAACUUGAGUGCAGAAGAGGAAAGUGGAAUUCCAUGUGUAGCGGUGAAAUGCGCAGAGAUAUGGAGGAACACCAGUGGCGAAGGCGACUUUCUGGUCUGUAACUGACGCUGAUGUGCGAAAGCGUGGGGAUCAAACAGGAUUAGAUACCCUGGUAGUCCACGCCGUAAACGAUGAGUGCUAAGUGUUAGGGGGUUUCCGCCCCUUAGUGCUGCAGCUAACGCAUUAAGCACUCCGCCUGGGGAGUACGACCGCAAGGUUGAAACUCAAAGGAAUUGACGGGGACCCGCACAAGCGGUGGAGCAUGUGGUUUAAUUCGAAGCAACGCGAAGAACCUUACCAAAUCUUGACAUCCUUUGACAACUUUAGAGAUAGAGCCUUCCCCUUCGGGGGACAAAGUGGCAGGUGGUGCAUGGUUGUCGUCAGCUCGUGUCGUGAGAUGUUGGGUUAAGUCCCGCAACGAGCGCAACCCUUAAGCUUAGUUGCCAUCAUUAAGUUGGGCACUCUAAGUUGACUGCCGGUGACAAACCGGAGGAAGGUGGGGAUGACGUCAAAUCAUCAUGCCCCUUAUGAUUUGGGCUACACACGUGCUACAAUGGACAAUACAAAGGGCAGCGAAACCGCGAGGUCAAGCAAAUCCCAUAAAGUUGUUCUCAGUUCGGAUUGUAGUCUGCAACUCGACUACAUGAAGCUGGAAUCGCUAGUAAUCGUAGAUCAGCAUGCUACGGUGAAUACGUUCCCGGGUCU